AUUGAACGCUGGCGGCAGGCUUGACACAUGCAAGUCGAACGAGUGGCGGACGGGUGAGUAAUGCUUGUGAAUCUAGCUUAGGGAUGGCGAUCACUACGGGAAACUGUAGCUAAUUCCGCGUUCAUUAGGCUUAGCCCGAGUGGGAGUAGGUAGUUGGUGAGGUAAAGGCUCACCAAGCCGACGAUCUCUUGCUGGGCUGAGAGGAUGACCAGUCACACUGGGACUGAGACACGGUCCAGACUCCUACGGGAGGCAGCAGUGGGGAAUAUUGCGCAAGGGGGGAAAGCUGACGCAGCCAUGCCGCGUGAAUGAAGAAGGCCUUCGGGUUGUAAAGUUCUUUCGGUAGCGAGGCGUUAACUACAGAAGAAGCACCGGCUAACUCCGUGCCAGCAGCCGCGGUAAUAC
rnacentral:rRNA from 1 species